GCCGGCCUUUAUAGGAGUAGGGGAGCGUGUUGAGAUAGAUAGACGUCCAAUCCUGCAGCAGCUAGUUGCUCGGCCUUAGUCUUGGGCUGAUCUCAGACUUCAAUCAACCCCUUCGUACUUCGAUCCAAUCAAUCGAUCGAUCAAGAGGCUAAUCUCUUUUGUUUGGGCCGGUAGCUAAAAGAAAGUCCUCGCUUUCUCUUGAACAAGGGAAGGGCAGCAUAGCAUUAGCUUCAAUUGUUUACUUGAUCCAAUCAAUCGAUCGAUCAAGAGGCUAAUCUCCUUUGUUUGGGCCGGUAGCUAAAAGAAUGUCCUCGCUUUCUCUUGAACAAGGGAAGGGCAGCAUAGCAUUAGCUUGAACUGAACAAGAUCAACCUUGAAAAAAAUGGGGUAGGCCUAUGUUGAACGCUUCAACUUGGACACUGAAGAAGGCGAAGGAUGGGCGAGAGACUAGGCCAACUUACUGCGCCAUGCCAUGGUUUACGCAUUAGGCUCCAUUGCCAGAAUUCUGUUUAGGUAUUUGGGAGGGGAGGACACCACUCAGCACCGCUCCGUGGGGUGGGGUUCAAUGCCUAACAAAACCGGUCAAAAGAAACAAAGGGAUGUAUCGCUGAGGGGAGGAGAGAAAGAACGCAUGCAUGGAGAUUCUGUCUGUCGGAGGUUCGAGAAUCUAUGAAAGGAAAUCUAAGGCUAAGGUUACGAAGUAAAGGAAGUCCAUUACUUAGAGAAGCGGUGAUCUCGUCUUGCUUGCUGGGAGAGAGGAAGCUUUCGGACCAUCUUUUCCAGCCAGAUAGCGAGUGAUCACUCA
rnacentral:lncRNA from 1 species